CCUACGGGUGGCAGCAGUGAGGAAUCUUGGUCAAUGGACGCAAGUCUGAACCAGCCAAGCCGCGUGAGGGAUGACUGCUCUAUGGGUGUCAAACUUCUUUUAUAUGGGAAUAAAAUGUUCCACGUGUCGGAUUUUGUAUGUACCAUAUGAAUAAGGAUCGGCUAACUCCGUGCCAGCAGCCGCGGUAAUACGGAGGAUCCGAGCGUUCUCCGGAUUUGUUGGGUUUAAAGGGAGCGUAGGUGGGUGGUUAAGUGAGUUGUGAAAGUUUGCGGGUCAACCGCAAAAGGGCGGUUGAAACUGGGAGUCUUGAGUGCAGAAGAGGUGGGCGGAAGUCGUGGUGUAGCGGUGAAAUGCUUAGAUAUAGCGAAGAACUCCGAUUGCGAAGGCAGCUCGCUGGACUGCAACUGACGCUGAGGCUCGAAAGUGUGGGGAUCAAACAGGAGUAGAUACCCGAGUAGUC
rnacentral:rRNA from 1 species